UUAAGUUCAGCGGGUAUCCCUACCUGAUCCGAGGUCAAACCUUUGUUUUUUAGUGAGUGUCUGGCAGGCUACCGCCGGGGUCUCCAGAGCGAGAGAUGCUACUACGCUUGGAGCCCACACGGCACCGCCACUGAUUUUAAGGCCCGCCAGCACGCUGGCGCAGCCCAACACCAAGCUGAGCUUGAGGGGUUGAAAUGACG
rnacentral:misc_RNA from 1 species